GGUGGAGAAAACUCUGCAGACACGCGCUCGUUUCUGGAUGCAAAAGUAACGCUGUAAAACAGCCGAGAAGAGAAGGAAAACCACGCCAGCAGGCAGGUUGCUGAUUGCUUCCCACAGCUGUGUUCACUUACCAUGGAGACGUGAGAGGGGAUAAAAACACAGGCCAAACACUUAGAUGUUGUGAAAGGAGCUAGAGAACCUUUCUCCAAAGCACUAGCUGAGGUUCAGUUGAAUUAAGGCUGUUGAAAAGUUGAACUGUUGUGAUUUAAGAUCUGACUUGUGUAUGAUUGGUGCUUGUUCUGUGUUGUGGCUAAGAGCAGUACCACAGUUUAAACUUUGAUUUCUUUCUUUUGCUUUUUCCCCAGGAAGCAGUAAGGAGGUAGACGGCCAUUGCUUUUUGUUGGACUUUUUCUCCUGUUUUGAGGUCAGUCAGGGAGUCAGUGUAGUUUUGUUGUUGAUUUUCAUCAUUGUUUUCUUGUAGUUUAUUUAUAGGCUUUACUCCCAGACAGAACCCUGUUUUGUUUGUUAUUUUGGCUGUAUUCCACUCCUGAAGCUAGAGCUUCCUUGACACUCAUUGUGUGACUCUUUGGUUUUGUAAAUAAACUUUUGGAACUUUA